rnacentral:tRNA from 1 species
GUGUUUAUGGUGUAGUGGUUAUCACAUCUGUCUAACACACAGAAGGUCCCAGGUUCGAGCCCUGGUUAGCACA